AUUGAACGCUGGCGGCAGGCUUAACACAUGCAAGUCGAACGAGUGGCGGACGGGUGAGUAAUGCUUGGGAAUCUAGCUUAUGGAGGGGGAUAACUACGGGAAACUGUAGCUAAUACCGCGUACCAUAGGAUGAGCCCAAGUGGGAUUAGGUAGUUGGUGAGGUAAAGGCUCACCAAGCCGACGAUCUCUAGCUGGUCUGAGAGGAUGACCGGCGACACUGGGACGGCGCACAGGCCCAGCCUCCUACGUGAGGCACCAGUGGGGAAUAUUGCGAAAUGGUGGGAACCUGAUGCAGCCACGGCGCGUGAAUGAAAAAGGCCUUGGGUUUGUAAAGUUCUUUCGGUAGCGGGGCGUUAACUACACGAGAAUCACCGGCUAACUCCGUGCCAGCCACAGCGGGAAUAC
rnacentral:rRNA from 1 species